GUGGAGAAGCUACUAAGAGCUUACGGUGGAUGCCUUGGUGCCAAGUGCCGAAGAAGGACGUGGGACACUGCGAUAAGUCUCGGGAAGCCGUGUACAGGCGUUAUACCCGGGGAUUUCCGAAUGGGGAAACCCACUAUGGUAAACCCAUAGUAUCACCAGCUGAAUAUAUAGGCUGGUCGAAGGUAACCUGGGGAACUGAAACAUCUAAGUACCCAGAGGAAAAGAGAUUAUUUCCCUAGUAGUGGCGAGCGAACGGGAAUCAGCCCAAACCAUUUGUGCUUGCACAAGUGGGGUUGUAGGAUCUGGCAAUAUAGAGUUACAAAUCAAUCGGUUAGCAAAAAGGUGUGGGAAAGCCUGCCAAAGAGGGUAACAGCCCCGUAUGCGAAAACUGAUUGACUCUUGCUAGACACCUGAGUACUGCCGAGCACGCUAAUUCGGCAGGAAUCCGGGGAGUCCACUCCCCAAGGCUAAAUACACUUGGCAACCGAUAGUGAACAAGUACCGUGAGGGGAAGGUGAAAAGAACCCCUGUUAGGGGAGUGAAAUAGAACCUGAAACCGUAAGCUUACAAGCAGUCGGAGGGCUAACAGCAGGUCGGUGCUCCAGUGAAAGCUGGGUGCGCGCUGCUAUGCCUGACGGCGUGCCUCUUGGAGAAUGAGCCUGCGAGUUAAUUUCAGUGGCAAGGUUAAGGGAGUGACACCCGAAGCCGUAGCGAAAGCGAGUCUUAAUAGGGCGUACAGUCGUUGGAAUUAGACACGAAACCAGGUGAGCUACCCAUGGUCAGGGUGAAGCGAGUCUAAACGCUCGUGGAGGCCCGAACCUUUCAAUGUUGCAAAAUUGUGGGAUGAACUGUGGGUAGAGGUGAUAUGCCAAACGAACCUGGAGAUAGCUUGUUCUCUCCGAAAUAGCUUUAGGGCUAGCGUCAUGUGUUUAGUACCGGAGGUAGAGCACUGAAUGGACUAGGGGGCUUAUCGCUUACCGAAUCCAAUCAAACUCCGAAUGCCGGUACUCCAGAGCAUGGCAGUCGGACUACGGGAGAUGAGUUUCGUAGUCGAGAGGGAAAGAGCCCAGACCAUCGGUUAAGGUCCCUAAAUUUAUACUAAGUGGGAAACGAUGUGAGAUUACUGUGACAACCAGGAGGUUGGCUUAGAAGCAGCCAUCCUUUAAAAAGUGCGUAAAAGCUUACUGGUCAAGUGAUCUUGCGCGGAAAAUGUAACGGGGCUAAGUAUAAUACCGAAGCCAUGGGUUUUAUCAAUAGAUAAAGCAGUAGGGGAGCGUUCUGUCAGCGGUGAAGGUGUACCGUGAGGAGCACUGGAGUGGACAGAAGUGAGAAUGCAGGCAUGAGUAGCGUAAAACAUGUGAGAAUCAUGUUCGCCGUAAAUCUAAGGUUUCCGACGGCAGGUCAAUCCGCGUCGGGUUAGUCGAGCCUUAGCCGAGGCCGAAAGGCGUAGGCGAUGGACAUCCGGUCAACAUUCCGGAACCACUUUGGUGGAGCGAAGAGGGGACGCAGCGAGGUAGGUUAGCCAGCGAUUGGUUGUGCUGGUGCUAAGCGUGUAGGUGUUGAAGCUGGUAGGUAAAUCCGCCGGCUGAGCUGAGGCGCGAUGGCGAGCCCCUGAGGCAGAAGUAAUUGAGCCUUGUUGCCAAGAAAAGCCUCUAAGUGAUGAAACUAAAGUGCUCGUACCGCAAACCGACACUGGUAGAUGGGUAGAGCAUACCAAGGCGAACGGGAGAACCCUCGUUAAGGAACUCGGCAAAUUGACCCCGUAACUUCGGGAGAAGGGGUGCCUCUUUUGGUGAAAAUAAUUCUAUUGGAGCUAAAAGAGGUCACAGAAAACAGGCUCUGGCGACUGGUUAACAAAACCACAGGUCUCUGCUAAGUCGUAAGACGAUGUAUAGGGGCUGACGCCUGCCCGGUGCCGGAAGGUUAAAGGGAGGGGUUAGCGCAAGCGAAGCUCUGAACUGAAGCCCCGGUGAACGGCGGCCGUAACUAUAACGGGCCUAAGGGAGCGAAGUCCCUUGUCGGGUAAGUUCCGACCUGCACGAAAGGCGUAACGACUUGAGCGCUGUCUCAACGGUGGACUCGGUGAAAUUGCAGGACCCGUAAAGAUGCGGGUUACCCGCGGCAGGACAAAAAGACCCCGUGGAGCUUUACUGCAACUUGACAUUGAAUCGUAGUUAAUGGUGCGCAGGAUAGGUGGGAGGCUUUGAAAUUCUGACUUCGGUCAGGGUGGAGCCGUCGUUGAGAUACCACUCUUCAUUAAUAGCGAUCCUAACCUUUAAUAAGGGACAUUGUCUGGUAGGCAGUUUGACUGGGGCGGUCGCCUCCAAAAGAGUAACGGAGGCGCCCAAAGGUCACCUCAGGCUGGAUGGAAAUCAGUCUAAGAGUGCAUUGGCAUAAGGUGGCUUGACUGCGAGACCUACAAGUCGAGCAGGGACGAAAGUCGGGCAAAGUGAUCCCACGGUACCGAGUGGAAGGGCCGUGGCUUAACGGAUAAAAGCUACCCCGGGGAUAACAGGCUGAUCUCGCCCAAGAGUUCACAUCGACGGCGAGGUUUGGCACCUCGAUGUCGGCUCGUCCCAUCCUGGGGCUGAAGGCGGUCCCAAGGG
rnacentral:rRNA from 1 species